rnacentral:rRNA from 1 species
GACGAACGCUGGCGGCGUGCUUAACACAUGCAAGUCGAACGAAGAGCGACGGAAGCUUGCUUCUAUCAAUCUUAGUGGCGAACGGGUGAGUAACGCGUAAUCAACCUGCCCUUCAGAGGGGGACAACAGUUGGAAACGACUGCUAAUACCGCAUACGAUCUAACCUCGGCAUCGAGGAUAGAUGAAAGGUGGCCUCUACAUGUAAGCUAUCACUGAAGGAGGGGAUUGCGACUGAUUAGCUAGUUGGAGGGGUAACGGCCCACCAAGGCGAUGAUCAGUAGCCGGUCUGAGAGGAUGAACGGCCACAUUGGGACUGAGACACGGCCCAGACUCCUACGGGAGGCAGCAGUGGGGAAUCUUCCGCAAUGGACGAAAGUCUGACGGAGCAACGCCGCGUGAGUGAUGACGGCCUUCGGGUUGUAAAGCUCUGUUAAUCGGGACGAAAGGCCUUCUUGCGAAUAGUGAGAAGGAUUGACGGUACCGGAAUAGAAAGCCACGGCUAACUACGUG